rnacentral:misc_RNA from 1 species
UGAGUUGCUGAGGGUAGC